GUCAGGGUGGCCGAGCGGUCUAAGGCGCUGCGUUCAGGUCGCAGUCUCCGUGGGAGGCGUGGGUUCGAAUCCCACUCCUGACA
rnacentral:tRNA from 1 species